GAUGCAUGGAAUGUCAUCUAGCAAUAACCUACUAUCAUGCUAGUAUAUUUCAACAGUGUAAUGAAUACAACUACAACAUAGUUAUGCAGUCUACUAUGUCAAAUCAUGGUAUGAAUGCAAUCCACUUAUGCAAUUCCUGUUACCACCCAAUCAAUUAGGCCAACUUGCCUAAGGUCUCAAAUCUCAAGGUCCUAGGCAAAGAGCUACCCCGCUCCUUGCCCGACUCGUAUCUCAUAGGUCCGACCCAAUCUCGAAAGUCCUAGGCAAAGAGCUACCCCGCUCCUCGCCCGACUCAAUCUCAAAGGUCCUAGGCAAAGAGCUACCCCGCUCCUUGCCCGACUCGUAUCUCAUAGGUCCGACCCAAUCUCGAAAGUCCUAGGCAAAGAGCUACCCCGCACCUCGCCCGACUCAAUCUCAAAGGUCCUAGGCAAAGAGCUACCCCGCUCCUUGCCCGACUCAAUCUCGCUCUACUAGGUACAAGCUGGCACAGAUAGAUAGAUAGAAAGAUAGAUAGAAAUAAUUGCUACUAUAUCCAAGCAUGUUCCAAUUUUCAUGCCUCUUUAUGGCAUUAGCUUACCCUACCAAUAAUAGGUUAAUACGCAUGCUCUCUAGCAUGAUCUCACAUUGCUAAAAUGUACCUAGCAUGUAUUCCACAAUGCAUAUAAAUAUUAACAUGCAUCUAUCCACUAGCAUAUGGUUUCAAUGUGUCCGUAUGCAACUAUCAACUUAGCAUAGUUCUCAUAAUGCUACAUGCAUACACUUUCCAAUGCAACUACCAACUUAGCAUAAUUCUCAUAAUAUUAACAUGUACAUGCAAUUCACAUAUCAUUCAAGUCUAAUGUCUCUCUAUGGCAUUACUUUGCUGGGC
rnacentral:lncRNA from 1 species